UAGUAGUCAGUAGCCAGAAAAUUUCUUCUCUGACUACUGGUUACUGAUUACUGAUUACCGUUCAGAGCGAGGGCAACCGGGUAGCGUUGAUGGGUGGGUCUUGCGCGGCAGGAGCCUGCGAACCAGGUCAGGUCCGGAAGGAAGCAGCCUUAAGUGGUCCCUCCUGGGUGCCGCAAGGUUGCCUGGCCGGAGCUACUCGGUUGCCGUCGCCCUGAGCAAACAACAG
rnacentral:SRP_RNA from 1 species